GACGAACGCUGGCGGCGUGCCUAAUACAUGCAAGUCGAACGCAGUGGGGACGUGUGAGUAACCCGUGGGUCACCUCCCCAUCAGAGGGGAUAACACUUGGUAACAGGUGCUAAACCUAUACUUAUGGAUGAACCCUCGGUGCAUUAGCUAGUUGGUGAGGUAACGGCUCACCACGUCCACGAUGCAUAGCCGACCUGAGAGGGUGAUCGGCAACACGGGGACUGAGACACGGCCCAGACUCCUACGGGAGGCAGCAGUAGGGAAUCUGCGGCAAUGGACGAAAGGCUGACCGAGCAACGCCGCGUGAGUGAAGAAGGUUGUCGGAUCGUAAAACUCUGUUGUUAGAGAAGCGGUAUCUAACCAGAAAGCCACGGCUAACUACGUGCCAGCAGCCGCGGUAAGUC
rnacentral:rRNA from 1 species